UAUGGCAGUCGAUGGGAGUGUCGCAACUCUGUUUUUCAAGGCUCUGUCAAUAGCAUAGAAGGAUGCCAAUUUUCUAGGCGGGGCAGUGAUAUUUUAACCGUAUCUUCAGCUUCUGUUCUUAUCGGUUCAUCUCGCGUCCUGAUGCGAGCAUAAUUAAACUAUGCGAAAGUGAAAGUGUUUCUUCCCGUGAAUAAUAGCUUUGUCUAAUUUUAAUUCAUGAUGGACAUUCUUACCUGUAUUUUAAGACCACUUCUUAUUAUGAUGGUCGCUGAUGGGUUGAUUGUGCACAGUCCCUCUGGUCCUCUGGUUGCUCCUCUGGGAUCUUCAGUGGUUUUGCCCUGUUAUGUUGAUGAACUCUUAUCAAUGGAGGAUCUGGAGGUAGAAUGGAGAAGAGCAGGCUCAGAGACUCUGGUUCAUCUGUAUCAAGAUGGUGAGAGCCGACCAGCAUCCCGGCAUCAGGAUUAUCAUGAUAGAGCUCAUUUCUUUACUGAUCAGAUUCAACAUGGAAACUUCUCUCUCCGUCUGGACAAUCUGACAUCUAAAGAUGAGGGAAAAUACACCUGUAAAGUUUACAGUCAGCGGGAUUCUGGAGAAACUGUGGUUCAAAUAAAGCAUGAGUGUUUGCUAGUGUAUGGAUCAGAACAGUCUGUGUCUGCAUAUGAUGGUGAGGACAUCACUCUGAACUGCUCUGUAGACUCUCACAUCACACCUGACCACAUUGAAGAGGUUUCAUGGAUAAGAACAGAUGGAGGUAUUCUGGUUCUGCUCUUUAAAAACAACAAGACUUUUCCAGAUUCAUCACAUGAGAGAUACAGAGACAGAGUCGAGUUCUUCACUGCAGAAAUCCCCAAAGGAAACUUCUCUCUCAGACUGAAGAGUGUCAGAACUGAGGAUAAAGAAGUUUACAUGUGUAAAGUGUUUUCUGGUGGACUUUCAGCCAAUGCAACUGUUGUACUGGAGAGACUGGGUUUCUCUUCUUGGCACAUAGCCGUGUUGUUCUUCUGUUUCGCUGCUGGCUCUGGAGCUGUGCUUCUGCUCCUCUCUCUGAUCUACUGCAGAUCAAAUAACACUGUUUCUACAAGCAACAAAAUCUGGAACCUUCAGCUUUCUUUGGUCUUUUGUCCAAACAUCUGUAUGUUCUUGGCCUUCAUCCUCUGGGGCUUUACUGAAGGAUUUUUGAGUGAGACCAUCACUUGCUCUGCUCUUUAUUUUCUAAGGCCUGUUAUGUUGAUUUGGGCCAUGCCUUAUUUAAAGUAUCUUCAAGACAUCCUUAAAACAUGGAUAAAGUUUUUCAAAAUAACCAGAGAGCUUGCUAUUUUUACAGUCGUUUUUUAUUCAGUUAUUUUUACAUAUGGCUGGAGAAAGAGAGCACACUUGGAUUGGAGUGGAGUGUACUUUGGAAUUGUUGUGCUUCUCUGUCUCAUCUUGAGUAAAGGUUUUAAAAACCAAAGGUGGAUUUUAGUUUGCGUCUAUUUAUGUUCUCCUUUUCAGUUGUUUCAGUUGUUUCUGAUGUACUCAUUUGGAUAUCCCUCUUUAGGACAUCUCAUUGUGGUAAUGGUUUUGUCACUACUGCAGAUCUUUAUAUUCUUUUUACCUCGUCUGCAAGCAAAAUUCAAAUUUCUCCACCAUAGAUGGAUAACAUUAUUUGGGAUAAUAGUAAUAACACUCCUGGAUUUCAUCCUAUUGAUUUAUGUUCUUCCAGCCAUAUUGGAAACAGAGAAGGAGUGCUGGGAAUGGAUCCGUGUCAUUUUAUUUAUAGAAGUUCUGAAGCUGAUCGUGAUCUUUAAAGCAAAUGUGCAAGUGACUGAAUGUGUAGUAGUCCAGAGACGAGGAGAAAACACUGAAACGAGCCACAGACGAGAAAAUUCAUUGUCCCGCUGUAAUGAAGUCAUGUACAUGUUUGGAGCAGUUGGUGUUAUUUUGCUGAGCUCAGUUACAUUGACUGCAGAACUGAUCCUGAAAGCUCGAAAUGGUGAGCGUGUCUUGAAGGAUCUGGGAGUCAUUGUCUUCCCUUCUGAAUGUGUUUUUGCCUUGUAUUGGCUGGUCUUACAAAUGCAUGCUUACUAUACAAACAGGGACAGGCUGGGACAAAAAAACGGCCCUGGACAUUGACUAGGCCUGGCCCAAAGCAAACGGGGAGCGGAAAUUUGACAACAACAACAAUAACGCCUGGCAUGACAACCUGAAUAUAACUUCCUAACAUCAUCCCUAACAAGUACCUCUCUUUCUCCUCUCAUGUUCCAUACUUGGAUCUGGAUCUGGAUGUGGAACAAGCUCAUCUUUCUGUCCCUCAUCAUCAUCACUGGUGGCAUGUUGCUGCAUAGCUGUCUGGCUCACUACUUCACUGCUGCUUAUAUUUAACUGCGAGGUGCUGCUGCUGGCUGUGCUGCUAAAUAUUUCAGUUAGUUUGCGACAUUAAGCGGCUUCAGUAUCUAUUCAUAUUGUUUGUUUGUUUGUUUGUUUCUAUGCUUCUUCUAUCUAACGUCUUUGCUCUUCCUACUCUUCCACUUCUUCUUCUCCUUACUUGGCGGCCAUGGCCAGUGCAGCUGGCAUCCAACUUAAAGGUGCAUUGCUGCCACCUACAGUACUGGAGUGUGAAACAGAUUAGUGGGUAAAAAACAGGUGACUGCGUGCGUGGCGGGUGGUGGGCUGGCCGUCCUGGAGAACCGGCCGUUCUGUGAUUCUCCAGAGCACACAGAUGGCCAGUCUGCCCCUGGAUACAAACAGUUAUUGAGGUGAAGGAGGUUCAGUGCUGCUAAAAGUGAGGUAAACGUCGAAGUGACAAACAAAAAGUGACCAGUAGUGGCAGCCUGCAUUAUUUAAGUUUGGCCUUUUAUACAGUCGUUCUUAUUUUACUGAACCAAUUACAAACAUUCUUAACAACUUAGUCUCUCUAAUGUCUCCUGUCACACAGGGAAGAUUGUUACAACUGGAUUUACACAGAACUCACCUCACAGAGGUCAUCCUAGGAGCACAACAGAAGAUCAUGAAACGGAGAAUCUGUCUGCACCUGAUCCUGACGUUUAACAGACACAGAUAUGAGAAACCAACUUGUGUACCUUUAUCCUGUAACAAACUGACACUGAACAUUACAUUGUAAAUCACAGGGUUUGGUGACAUUCUGGUACACAUUUUCAAAAGUAAAUGCUGUUAUAAGUUUCUUCUAAUAAUUAUUAUUAACAAAACGCAACCAUUUCUUCAUAAACAGAUUGACGUACAGCUAUUAUGUGUUGUGUUAUUAAAAAUAUAUGUUUAUUCAUGUUUGAGUAUUCAGUUAAAGAAGAGGGAGCUGAACAUGUUUAGUAAAUCUAUUGCAUUAGUGGUUUGAAGCCCACAUAUUUUCUGUUUCAGCUAAUAUUAAAGUUAAACAGAUCUGUACAACAUUUAAAUCUAUAUAAAUGUAUUAAUGUAACAUUUAAGUCACUCCAGCAGUUUGUAUGGUAUCUUAAUUGCUUUAGCUUAUGUGUGUGUAUAUGCAUUUCAAUAAUAAUAAAUGUUGAGAGUGCUUUCUAUUGAAGUCUCCAAGAUUAUGAGAUAUAAUCAUCAUAUAUCACAAUAAAAAUCAUGAGACCACAAAA